rnacentral:rRNA from 1 species
UACGUAGGGUGCAAGCGUUAAUCGGAAUUACUGGGCGUAAAGGGUUCGUAGGUGGCUUGCUAAGUCAGACGUGAAAUCCCUCAGCUUAACUGGGGAACUGCGUCUGAGACUGGCGGGCUCGAGUGCAGGAGAGGAACGCGGAAUUCCAGGUGUAGCGGUGAAAUGCGUAGAUAUCUGGAGGAACACCGGUGGCGAAGGCGGGUCUCUGGGCAGUAACUGACGCUGAGGAGCGAAAGCGUGGGGAGCGAACAGG